AGGCGGACUCAUGUCCAGCCUGAUGAAAGGAGAUGCUGCAGGAGAGCCUUGCGUCCUAUUAGCUUGUUGGUGGGGUAACGGCCCACCAAGGCGAUGAUAGGUAGCCGGCCUGAGAGGGUGGACGGCCACAAGGGGACUGAGAUACGGCCCUUACUCCUACGGGAGGCAGCAGUGGGGAAUAUUGGACAAUGGGGGCAACCCUGAUCCAGCAAUUCUGUGUGCACGAUGAAGGUUUUCGGAUUGUAAAGUGCUUUCAGCAGGGAAGAAAAAAAUGACGGUACCUGCAGAAGAAGCGACGGCUAAAUACGUGCCAGCAGCCGCGGUAAUACGUAUGUCGCAAGCGUUAUCCGGAAUUAUUGGGCAUAAAGGGCAUCUAGGCGGCCAGAUAAGUCUGGGGUGAAAACUUGCGGCUCAACCGCAAGCCUGCCCUGGAAACUAUGUGGCUAGAGUACUGGAGAGGUGGACGGAACUGCACGAGUAGAGGUGAAAUUCGUAGAUAUGUGCAGGAAUGCCGAUGAUGAAGAUAGUUCACUGGACGGUAACUGACGCUGAAGUGCGAAAGCUAGGGGAGCAAACAGGAUUAGAUACCCUGGUAGUCCUAGCUGUAAACGAUGAUUACUGGGUGUGGGCAUGAAGAGUGUCCGUGCCGAAGCUAAUGCGAUAAGUAAUCCGCCUGGGGA
rnacentral:rRNA from 1 species